rnacentral:rRNA from 1 species
GAUGAACGCUGGCGGCGUGCCUAAUACAUGCAAGUCGAGCGAACAGACGAGGAGCUUGCUCCUCUGACGUUAGCGGCGGACGGGUGAGUAACACGUGGAUAACCUACCUAUAAGACUGGGAUAACUUCGGGAAACCGGAGCUAAUACCGGAUAAUAUAUUGAACCGCAUGGUUCAAUAGUGAAAGACGGUUUUGCGGUCACUUAUAGAUGGAUCCGCGCCGCAUUAGCUAGUUGGUAAGGUAACGGCUUACCAAGGCGACGAUGCGUAGCCGACCUGAGAGGGUGACCGGCCACACUGGAACUGAGACACGGCCCAGACUCCUACGGGAGGCAGCAGUAGGGAAUCUUCGGCAAUGGGCGCAAGCCUGACGGAGCAACGCCGCGUGAGUGAUGAAGGUCUUCGGAUCGUAAACCUCUGUUAUUAGGGAAGAACAAAUGUGUAAGUAACUAUGCACGUCUUGACGGUACCUAAUCAGAAAGCCACGGCUAACUACGUG